rnacentral:rRNA from 1 species
UACGGAGGAUCCAAGCGUUAUCCGGAUUUAUUGGGUUUAAAGGGAGCGUAGGUUGACAUAUAAGUCAGCUGUGAAAGUUUACGGCUCAACCGUGAAAUUGCAGUUGAUACUGUAUGUCUUGAGUGUACAAGAGGUGGGCGGAAUUCGUGGUGUAGCGGUGAAAUGCUUAGAUAUCACGAAGAACUCCAAUUGCGAAGGCAGCUUACUGGGGUACAACUGACACUGAGGCUCGAAAGUGUGGGUAUCAAACAGGAUUAGAUACCCUGGUAAUCCACACAGUAAACGAUGAAUACUCGCUGUUUGCGAUAUACAGUAAGCGGCCAUGCGAAAGCAUUAAGUAUUCCACCUGGGGAGUACGCCGGCAACGGUGA